AAUCUAGUUGGGUAGCUAGAAUUGAGUAUUAUGAUAUAACAUGAACGUUAUACUAUUGAAUAUGAUCUAGUUAAAUAACUAGAAUUGGAUAUGAGGAUAUACUUGUAAUAUACCGAAUUUUUAAUAUAAAAGUAAGUACAAAUAAAAAUAGUAUAAGGUACUAUUUUUAUUGGACUUAGAGAAGUAAAAUAUAAGUCGAAAACGACUUGUGCUGAAAUCGGAACGGAAACAGAAGAUUUAGAAUUUUCUGUAAGAAACGGACUGAUAUUUUAGCAGAAAAUUUACAGUGUCAGAAAAUUAUGAAAACUUGGGAAUAUGUCGGAAUUAUUUUUAUGAGGCUAGAUUUAAAGUUUCACGUCAUUCUGAUACCCGAAAAAUGAAAAAUAAAAUCUGACUGCUUUUUGCUAGAGAUUUUAGUCGGUAGAGCUUUCAGUGACCAAAAAUUGUCCAAACUGGGAAGUA
rnacentral:lncRNA from 1 species